UACGGGGGGGGCAAGCGUUGUUCGGAAUUACUGGGCGUAAAGGGCUCGUAGGCGGCCAACUAAGUCAGACGUGAAAUCCCUCGGCUUAACCGGGGAACUGCGUCUGAUACUGGAUGGCUUGAAUCCGGGAGAGGGAUGCGGAAUUCCAGGUGUAGCGGUGAAAUGCGCAGAUAUCAGGAGGAACACCUAUUGCGAAGGCAGCUCGCUGGGACGUAACUGACGCUGAGACGCGAAAGCGUGGGGAGCAAACAGG
rnacentral:rRNA from 1 species